GGGGAGAUGGAAUGUCAGUCCCAGUAGAAGUCACCACCAAAGAGGGAAAAUGUAGCAUUGAACAUUUUAAGGAUGAGACAGGAUCUGUUUAGAAGUGUCAUGGGUAAAUAAAAGAUAUAUAGGUUCUACAAACAUGUAAUCAAGAUGAGAGGGAGCAGAGAAAUUUAUACACAGAGUUACUUGUGAAGGACAAUAAGCAUCUGCGGAAGAGGUAGAGGAGGAGUAAAUGCAUCCAGAAGAGGUGGAGGAGCGGGAUGAUGCAGCCGUCGGCUCGCUCUGCCCACAGGAGCCACGCGGCACCUCGGGGCCAUCAGCACCGAUCCAGAAAGUGGGACUGGGUGAAUCCAUGCCAAAAUGGUGACAACAUCCGAUAUGCGCAAGAGGGACGCUGCGAGCACAGAACUGCGAGUCUUGCUGAACAUAACACGGUGCAAAUGCCAGCGGGGUUAGAUUUGCACACAGUAAUCAUUUAUUUGCUAUUAAAAAAAACAGAUGUGCCUUAUAAUUGCAUCUAAAAGGUGCGUUCCCAAAAUUAACAAUCCAAACCCUGUACGAAGAUAAAUGUUUUGUAACUUAAUUAUUAAAGUUGGAAAAGUUACUCUCCAUUUUCUUAUACUAUAAGUACCAAUUUUAGUAAAGUACUCAGUGACAUCUCUGAAGGUUUUUCUAAAUAUUUUUUAUUUUGUCACAUUUUUGUGUUUAUAAUGACUCUGUGCUACAAGGAUGAAGCUGCGGCCGUGCAUGUAUUGGUUUAGAGCAGCGAGUUUUCUUUAAAAAGAGUUGUUUGUGUAUUUUCUUUUCUUUUGUACUGCUCAUGACAUACUUAAGGCUGUUCAGCGGAAUAGCUAGCAAAAAAAAUCAUGAUCUUUAAUAUGCACGUGUACAGUACUUAUUCUGCAAAAAAACAAGCUGGCGGAAUUUUGUGUGAAGUUGUGGGUAACAUCUCUUUCCUGAACAAUGGUACAUUUAGGAAGUGGCCGGCAAUUUUUUAUUCUGCCCGUGAGAAGCGCCACUCCAGAAGACUCACUGUGUGCCCGAUCUUCUCAGGAGCGUUACUGAGAGGGCGACUGGCUCGGUGGUGCAACACCUCUGGAGGGAGAGAUUUCACUGUGCUGCCCCUGUGAAAGGGGAAAAGUGAGGUAAAAUGAUACUGGCCUAGAUUUUUAUCCCCACUUCCAAGAUUCACACUUGAGAAACUAGCGGAGUUGUG